rnacentral:snRNA from 1 species
AUACUUAACUGGCAGGGAAGACAGCAUUAUUACAAAGGUGGUUUCCCCACGGUAAGGUUUAUCCAUAUCACUCCGAAUGCACUGACAUUUGCGAUUUCCCCAAAUGCGAAAACUUUCGACUUUAUAAUUUCUGGUAGUGUGGGACCCGCU